rnacentral:rRNA from 1 species
AGGACGUGCUAAUCUGCGAUAAGCGUCGGUAAGGUGAUAUGAACCGUUAUAACCGGCGAUUUCCGAAUGGGGAAACCCAGUGUGUUUCGACACACUAUCAUUAACUGAAUCCAUAGGUUAAUGAGGCGAACCGGGGGAACUGAAACAUCUAAGUACCCCGAGGAAAAGAAAUCAACCGAGAUUCCCCCAGUAGCGGCGAGCGAACGGGGAGGAGCCCAGAGCCUGAAUCAGUGUGUGUGUUAGUGGAAGCGUCUGGAAAGGCGCGCGAUACAGGGUGACAGCCCCGUACACAAAAAUGCACAUGCUGUGAGCUCGAUGAGUAGGGCGGGACACGUGGUAUCCUGUCUGAAUAUGGGGGGACCAUCCUCCAAGGCUAAAUACUCCUGACUGACCGAUAGUGAACCAGUACCGUGAGGGAAAGGCGAAAAGAACCCCGGCGAGGGGAGUGAAAAAGAACCUGAAACCGUGUACGUACAAGCAGUGGGAGCACGCUUAGGCGUGUGACUGCGUACCUUUUGUAUAAUGGGUCAGCGACUUAUAUUCUGUAGCAAGGUUAACCGAAUAGGGGAGCCGAAGGGAAACCGAGUCUUAACUGGGCGUUAAGUUGCAGGGUAUAGACCCGAAACCCGGUGAUCUAGCCAUGGGCAGGUUGAAGGUUGGGUAACACUAACUGGAGGACCGAACCGACUAAUGUUGAAAAAUUAGCGGAUGACUUGUGGCUGGGGGUGAAAGGCCAAUCAAACCGGGAGAUAGCUGGUUCUCCCCGAAAGCUAUUUAGGUAGCGCCUCGUGAAUUCAUCUCCGGGGGUAGAGCACUGUUUCGGCAAGGGGGUCAUCCCGACUUACCAACCCGAUGCAAACUGCGAAUACCGGAGAAUGUUAUCACGGGAGACACACGGCGGGUGCUAACGUCCGUCGUGAAGAGGGAAACAACCCAGACCGCCAGCUAAGGUCCCAAAGUCAUGGUUAAGUGGGAAACGAUGUGGGAAGGCCCAGACAGCCAGGAUGUUGGCUUAGAAGCAGCCAUCAUUUAAAGAAAGCGUAAUAGCUCACUGGUCGAGUCGGCCUGCGCGGAAGAUGUAACGGGGCUAAACCAUGCACCGAAGCUGCGGCAGCGACGCUUAUGCGUUGUUGGGUA